AUCAUGGCCUCUUCUAGCACAAAUGGUAGCAUCUAUGACGUAUUUCUAAGCUUCAGAGGCGAAGAUACUCGUAAUGCUUUUACUGAUCAUCUUUAUGAGGCGUUAGUGCGAGCAGGACUUCGUAUUUUCAGGGAUGAUGAUGAACUCGACAGAGGUCAAGAACUGAAGCCGAACAUCAAGAAGGCAAUCAAAGAGUCUAGGGCGUCGAUAGUUGUAUUGUCCGAGAACUAUGCAACCUCCACUUGGUGCCUUGACGAGCUUCUGUUGAUACUCGAGCAAAGGAGGGAGUACAAUCAAUUCGUUCUACCUGUUUUCUAUCACGUCGAUCCUUCGGAUGUUAGGAAACAAAGUAAGACUUUCAAGAUAAACGUCAAAACUUAUUCAAGGUGGACAGAAGACAACGUCAACAAGUGGAAGGUUGCCCUUACGAACAUCGCCGAUUUGACGGGUCUAGUUCUUACUGGGCCCGAAACAACAUUUUUGAAGAAAAUUGUUGAUACUAUUUAUAAAGAAUUAGAUUGCAAAGAAGUUCAUAUUCCAUCAAAUCUUAUAGGGAUGGUUGCUCGACGUGAGGAGAUCAAUUCUUGGUUAGAUAAACACAGGCUCGAAUUUUUAGCAAUUUGUGGUAUGGGUGGAAGUGGCAAGACAACUCUAGCCAAGUAUAUUUACGAUUCAAAUUGUAAAAAAUUUGAAAAUACAAGUUUUCUUGAAGACAUUGGUACCAAAUGUGAACGACCCAAUGGUUUGCUUGAGCUACAAGAACAACUUCUCGAAGAUAUUUUAGGGGGCAAGAAGACAAAACUACAUGGUGUUUCUCAAGGUACUCGUAAGAUUGCAAAGGCCUUAGAAACAAAAAGGAUACUUAUUGUUCUGGAUGACAUGGUUGAACAUAGCCAGUUAGUCGCUCUACUUGGAAAUGACAAAAUCAAUGCACGAAGCAAGAUCAUAAUAACCACCAGGGAAAACACAGAAAAUUGGUUUAAGUUCACAACUUGGAGGUGUCAAAAUUAUAGAAUGGUAUUGCUGAAUGAUGGUGAAUCAUUAGAGCUUUUAAGUCUUCAUUCUUUUGGUUCCAAAAGUCCCAUGGAAGCUUUUAACGAGCUUGCAAUGCAAGCAGUACGGUAUUGUGAAGGAAAUCCACUGGCUCUUAAAGUGUUGGCUUCCUCUUUAUCCAUUAAGAAUACCGUCUUACAUUGGAGAAGUCAAUUGAAUUUGUUGGAAAGAGAUGGUGAUGAUGGAAUUCAAGGUGUACUAAUAAGGAGCUACAUGUCAUUGCCAUCUGACUCAGAGAAAGAGUUGUUUUUGCAUAUUGCUUGUUUCUUCAUAGGAGAAGAUAUGGAUUAUGUGGAAAAGAUAUUGGAGCCUGAUUACAGUGCAAUAUGUGGGAUCAAAACCCUAAUGAACAGAUACCUUCUUUCUGUUUCAUCAAACAAACAAUUGAUGAUGCAUCGGUUGCUUCAAGAGAUGGGGAAAAACAUAGUCCGUCAGGAAUCAAGCAAACGCCCUGAAAAACGUAGUAGAAUCUGGCUUAACAGUGAUUCUUAUAAGAUAUUGCGCAAAGGAAAGGGUUCAAAAACAAUUGAAGGUCUGGCCCUUGACAUGCAAACGCUGAGGAAAGAGGACAUAUUCAAGUCAUUUGACCUCAAGACUGAUGCACUACAAAAUAUGGAUAAACUAAAAUUGCUCCAGCUAAAAUUUGUGGAACUCACUGGAUCCUAUGAGAAAUUUUCAGAAGAUCUAAGAUGGCUAUGUUGGUUUGGAUUCCAUUCAAGAACCAUACCGUCUGGCUUAUUCAUGGGGAACUUGGUGGCUUUAGAUAUGAGCUAUAGCAAGUUGGAAGUAUUUGAACCACCCAUGGUUCUUGUAUCACUCAAGAUUCUAAAUCUUAAAGACUCGUACAAUCUAUCCCAAAUCCGCAACAUCUCCCGGAUCCCUAAUCUUGAGACUUUUAUGCUCUGCCAUUGUCAGAGUCUUGUUCAUGUUUGUGAAACCAUUGGAAACCUUACGAGACUUGCUUUAUUGAACAUGACAGGAUGUGAAAACCUGUGCAAGAGGGAUAAAAAAAAUGUGCCUUCAAUGCUAACUCCUUCUACUUCUAAUUCUGGUGAAGUUACAAAAUGGUGUCCCUUUUCCUUCCCACGUUCAUUACAACGAUUAUUCCUUAAGGAUUGCAAUCUUGAUUGUAAUAAUUCUUUGAGUUUCAGUGUUCAACCAGUUUUGCAGUACUUGAAUUUAGGCAAUAGUCUAUUUGAGUCACUACCUUGUUAUGAUCAUCUUAAAGAUCUUCGUGUCCUUGACUUGAGUUUAUGCUCAAAACUCAAAGAGCUUCUAUAUCUCCCAUGUACACUUGCAGAAUUGUAUAUAUAUUACUGCAAGUCACUGGAGAAAAUAACCUUCCAAUCACAUCAAUUCACAUUACAAGAGUUCGGCUAUGAAGGUUGCAGUAACUUGUCUGAAGUUGAAGACUUUAUGAAACUAGUACCGAUAGCCAAACUACAUGAAACUGAUUUGGGACACAUGGUAUGGCUAAAGGAUUACAAAGAUCAUGAAAUGUGCCUGGUUGGUGAUGAUGAGCUCACCAUAGGCAGAAGUAGACAUGCACAGAUGUUGUAUGAAUUCAAUAUAAUGAGCACAUCUCUUCCAGACAUAAAGAAUCCAAACAUGAUGCCUGAGCAUAUAUCAGAAUCCCAAUUUUUGUCCUUCCAAGUGCCUACGUGUCCCAAGGGUAGGAGCCUCAAAGGAUUAAAUAUAACUUUCAAAUAUACAUUAUUUGGUAAGGAUUGGGCAUGGUUCGCUAAAAUCAGUACGACCAACGGAGUUGAGUUGAUGUACAAUCCCAAAGUCUUUGGCAAAAAUGAAUUUGGGGAAGUUGCUAUAUGGUUAAGUUAUUGGCCAAUUGGAAACAAACUGGACGUUGGAGAUGGGGUCAAUGUGUCUAUUGUAGUGAUAAAUGGACUGGAGAUAUGCAAUUUUGGUGUGAGCCUUGUGUAUGCUGAUGAUGAAGCAGCCAACAAGACUCUGCCAAAUAAAAUGGGAUGGGGAGAAAUUCUUGGAGGAGAUUUUUCUGGAUUUCGACUAAGCACGGGAGCAUAUUAUCUUUGCCGGCGUGAUUUCUUUGAGUUACUGGAUAGUGACAGACCACCCCCUGGUUGGUUUUGGGAUUUAGUUGGUGAUAUCAUUGACUAUACAGAGAUACAAGGAUGGAGAAAGACCGGUCGACGUAAGGAUUUGAAUCCAUUGUCUACAGAGUUGAGAACUGUUAGAUGCACCAUCCAUGAUCCAGAAUUGGAGAAAAAGAUGCCAGAGAUGUCCGAGUCAUCUUUUGUCGAUAAACCUGUAGAGUACAGAUCAACCACGCUUGGGGAGAAAAGGAAAUAUGACACUGCAUACCCAACAAUACCAAAAGUUUCUAGCUCUAUAAAAAGGGAAAUUUACAAUCCAGAGACUAUGGGCAUGUCUAAAGCAUCUGGGAGUUACAUUCCUGAGACUAUGGGCAAGUCUAAAGCAUUUGCUGCUGAUAAGCAGGCUAAUGCAAACCGGGGCUGGAAAAAGGAAAAAAGUGAGAGUUACAAUCUAGAAAAUAUGGACAUGCGUAAAGCAUCUGGGAGUUUCCAACAAGGGGAUGUGGAACUGCCUGAACUAGAUAUGUGGGCUAUGGACAUGUAUGCUGAAGAUUAUUACAAUCUAGCGUAUGUGGGCAUGGGAAAUGAUUUUGAUCCUGGUUUGGUUAUGAAGCGUACUGCAAAGCAACGGUGGAAGAAAUUGAGAUCUGUGAUCAGAUUUAUUAUGUUACUCCAAGCAAGGGACACGUACAAGUCAGACUUCAGCAUGAAUUAUUUUUGAUCCGGCGUUAAUUAUCAAAAUUGGUUAAGGCAACGAAUCUUAUGGCUUCCUGGAUUUUGUUGUCUCUGAUCAAUUCUCAUCAUCGCUUCUCAGACCAUGUGCAGUCCAUGACCUGCACUUGAUAUCUUGUUAUUUUGGCUUUGGACAUCCGACUAAAUAUUCGAGAUUGGAUUGAUCCAAUACAACCAGGAAGUGAUCUCCUCAUAUCAAAUCUCCAUCCCUGUUAGUCAGAUCGGGUGAAAAUACACUAUUUGCGAUCUAUUUCAUUGCGAAUGGUCUCAACAACUGUCUUCAAAAACUCCUCACGCGUUAUGUCAGGCCUGUAACAGCACAAGGCACAAUCCCUACUAGCCGCAAGUAAUAUGUAUCUUAGUAAACAAUAAAAUACAAGUAAGAAGAAGAAAAACA